rnacentral:tRNA from 1 species
GGGCCCGUAGCUUAGCGGUUAGAGCGCUCGGCUCAUAACCGAGCGGCCGCCGGUUCAAAUCCGGCCGGGCCCA